AUGAACGCUAGCUACAGGCUUAACACAUGCAAGUCGAGGGGCAGCAUGGUCUUAGCUUGCUAAGGCCGAUGGCGACCGGCGCACGGGUGAGUAACACGUAUCCAACCUGCCGUCUACUCUUGGACAGCCUUCUGAAAGGAAGAUUAAUACAAGAUGGCAUCAUGAGUCCGCAUGUUCACAUGAUUAAAGGUAUUCCGGUAGACGAUGGGGAUGCGUUCCAUUAGAUAGUAGGCGGGGUAACGGCCCACCUAGUCUUCGAUGGAUAGGGGUUCUGAGAGGAAGGUCCCCCACAUUGGAACUGAGACACGGUCCAAACUCCUACGGGAGGCAGCAGUGAGGAAUAUUGGUCAAUGGGCGAGAGCCUGAACCAGCCAAGUAGCGUGAAGGAUGACUGCCCUAUGGGUUGUAAACUUCUUUUAUAAAGGAAUAAAGUCGGGUAUGGAUACCCGUUUGCAUGUACUUUAUGAAUAAGGAUCGGCUAACUCCGUGCCAGCAGCCGCGGUAAUACGGAGGAUCCGAGCGUUAUCCGGAUUUAUUGGGUUUAAAGGGAGCGUAGAUGGAUGUUUAAGUCAGUUGUGAAAGUUUGCGGCUCAACCGUAAAAUUGCAGUUGAUACUGGAUAUCUUGAGUGCAGUUGAGGCAGGCGGAAUUCGUGGUGUAGCGGUGAAAUGCUUAGAUAUCACGAAGAACGCCGAUUGCGAAGGAAGACUGCUAAGCUGCAACUGCCAUUGAGGCUUGAAAGGGUGGGUAUCAAACAGGAUUAGAUACCCUGGUAGUCCACACGGUAAACGAUGAAUACUCGCUGUUUGCGAUAUACUGCAAGCGGCCAAGCGAAAGCGUUAAGUAUUCCACCUGGGGAGUACGCCGGCAACGGUGAAACUCAAAGGAAUUGACGGGGGCCCGCACAAGCGGAGGAACAUGUGGUUUAAUUCGAUGAUACGCGAGGAACCUUACCCGGGCUUAAAUUGCAGAUGAAUUACGGUGAAAGCCGUAAGCCGCAAGGCAUCUGUGAAGGUGCUGCAUGGUUGUCGUCAGCUCGUGCCGUGAGGUGUCGGCUUAAGUGCCAUAACGAGCGCAACCCUUGUUGUCAGUUACUAACAGGUUCCGCUGAGGACUCUGACAAGACUGCCAUCGUAAGAGGGGAGGAAGGUGGGGACGACGUCAAAUCAGCACGGUCCUUACUUCCGGGGCUACACACGUGUUACAAUGGGGGGUACAGAGGGCCGCUACCACGCGAGUGGAUGCCAAUCCCCAAAACCUCUCUCAGUUCGGACUGGAGUCUGCAACCCGACUCCACGAAGCUGGAUUCGCUAGUAAUCGCGCAUCAGCCACGGCGCGGUGAAUACGUUCCCGGGCCUUGUACACACCGCCCGUCACACCAUGAGAGCCGGGGGGACCCGAAGUCGGUAGUCUAACCGCAAGGAGGACGCCGCCGAAGGUAAAACUGGUGAUUGGGGUG
rnacentral:rRNA from 1 species